UUAAAUAAUUGAAUGAUGAUUACAUAUUUAACCAAGCUUCAUGAGUAUCUAUGUUCAUCUUAUAUUAAACAUUUUUAUAAGAGCGUUUAGAUGAGAUGACACGAGUUUUUUUUAACUUAACAAAGGUCUUGAGUUCAAAUUCAGUCUUGGGCAUGCAACAACGUUAAAACUCUUAGAGAGAGUUUACUGUCCACUUGGCUCCCACAAGGCUCUGAGGGUUAGUCUCUGCAUUAGAGGAUACCUAGUUUACACCAACAAAAAAACCUUUUCAUUUUAGUGAACACAAUGAUACACUUGAAAUUUGGUUGAGUAUAUUUUAAUUAUCCAAUUAUUCAAUGACAUGUCAUAUUUUUAUAUUAAUUUAUUUGUU
rnacentral:lncRNA from 1 species